rnacentral:rRNA from 1 species
CCUACGGGUGGCAGCAGUGAGGAAUAUUGGUCAAUGGACGAGAGGCUGAACCAGCCAAGUAGCGUGAAGGAUGACUGCCCUAUGGGUUGUAAACUUCUUUUAUCUGGGAAUAAAAUGUUCCACGUGUGGGAUUUUGUAUGUACCUUAUGAAUAAGCAUCGGCUAACUCCGUGCCAGCAGCCGCGGUAAUACGGAGGAUUCGAGCGUUAUCCGGAUUUAUUGGGUUUAAAGGGUGCGUAGGUGGAUUGUUAAGUCAGUUGUGAAAGGUUGCGGCCCAACCCCAAAAUUGCAGUUGAAACUGGCAGUCUCGAGUACAGUAGAGGUAGGCGGAAUUCGCGGUGUAGCGGUGAAAUGCUUAGAUAUCGCGAAGAACUCCGAUUGCGAAGGCAGCUCACUGG